AGCACAAGGUGUCGACUUGCCCGCAACGAGACGGCAAAUGCUUCAAGUGUGGCCAACCGGGACAUCUUAUCCGGGAGUGCCCGACGUGGACGUCGUCUGCGCCGACGGCGGCAUUAGCACCGUCUACCCCGAGACAGCUUGCGGGGUUACCACUAGCGAUGUCGGCUGGGCGCGCGUCAUCACCGCGUCAGCCGGAGGGAUCGAGAGCGCCUAGCGGCCGAGUCUUUGCCGCUCAGGUGGAGGAGCAACAACCUGCAGCACCCGACGACGUCGUGGCAGGUAUAAUUGUGAUUAAAGGCACUAGAGC
rnacentral:lncRNA from 1 species